ACCAAGUGACAAUAGAGCGUCUCAAAGCAAACACAGUAGUGUGCAAUGCUAAAGUCCUAACGUGCAUGUACUUACUUUGUUUGUUCUGAUACACUCUUAUGAGCUUC